AGAGUUUGAUCAUGGCUCAGGAUGAACGCUAGCUACAGGCUUAACACAUGCAAGUCGAGGGGAAACGACAUCGAAAGCUUGCUUUUGAUGGGCGUCGACCGGCGCACGGGUGAGUAACGCGUAUCCAACCUGCCCACCACUUGGGGAUAACCUUGCGAAAGUAAGACUAAUACCCAAUGACGUCUCUAGAAGACAUCUGAAAGGGAUUAAAGAUUUAUCGGUGAUGGAUGGGGAUGCGUCUGAUUAGCUUGUUGGCGGGGUAACGGCCCACCAAGGCUACGGAUCAGUAGGGGUUCUGAGAGGAAGGUCCCCCACAUUGGAACUGAGACACGGUCCAACUCCGUACGGAGGCA
rnacentral:rRNA from 1 species